UUUGUUUACAAAAAUUUCUCAUUCUCAGAACAUCAUCAUUUUACACUCGAAUGCUAAAAACGCAUUAAAAUCUUGGUAUAAAUAUUAGUUUACGAAAUAAUUUUAAUUCAUUGUGGUAUUGACUUCUACAAUAUGAAAUUCUACGCUUUGUUUAUUGUUGUCUUGGCUUUAAUUGCCUGUGCCUUGGGCAAUCCUAAUCCCAAUCCUUUGCCAAAUCCUAAACCGCUAGGCGGUGGUGGAGGAGGUGGCGGUGGUGGCGGCUCCUUCGGUGGUGGUGGUGGCGGCGGCGGUGGUGGUGGUGGAAAGUAAAUCCAUACAUUGCAUUUGAUGAUAUUAUAGUUGAAUUUAAAUGAUUUAUAUUUUAAGUUGAUUUGAAUAAAAUAACGAAAUUUUAAAAGCUAAUAGUAAAUAA